rnacentral:rRNA from 1 species
UACGGAGGGGGCUAGCGUUGUUCGGAAUCAUUGGGCGUAAAGGGCGCGUAGGCGGCCUGCCAAGUCGGAUGUGAAAUCCCUCGGCUCAACCGAGGAACUGCACUCGAUACUGGUUGGCUAGAGUCCGGGAGGGGAUGGUGGAAUUCCCAGUGUAGCGGUGAAAUGCGUAGAUAUCUGGAGGAAUACCGGUGGCGAAGGCGGCAUCCUGGACCGGCAUUGACGCUGAUGAGCGAAAGCCAGGGGAGCAAACGGG